AUUUUUAAUAAAAAUAAGGAAUAUUUGCAGGGCCGGAUUAAUCCUCAACGGGGCCCUAGGCAACCAUCAACUUGGGGGCCCUUUUUUCACGUCCGUUCCCU